ACGGAAGGCAGCAGUGGGGAAUAUUGGGCAAUGGGGGAAACCCUGACCCAGCGACGCCGCGUGAGGGAAGACGGUCUUCGGAUUGUAAACCUCUGUUGACAGGGACGAAGGAAGUGACGGUACCUGUCGAGGAAGCCACGGCUAACUACGUGCCAGCAGCCGCGGUAAUACGUAGGUUGCGAGCGUUAUCCGGAUUUACUGGGUGUAAAGGGUGUGUAGGCGGAGUGGCAAGUCAGAUGUGAAAACUAUGGGCUCAACCCCUAACCUGCAUUUGAAACUGUCAGCCUUGAGGGUCGGAGAGGCAAACGGAAUUCCUGGUGUAGCGGUGAAAUGCGUAGAUAUCAGGAGGAACACCGGUGGCGAAGGCGGUUUACUGGACGGUACCUGACGCUGAGACACGAAAGCGUGGGGAGCAAACAGGAUUAGAUACCCUGGUA
rnacentral:rRNA from 1 species